GACGGAGGAUGCAAGCGUUAUCCGGAAUGAUUGGGCGUAAAGCGUCCGCAGGCGGCAGUUCAAGUCUGCUGUCAAAGACCGGGGCUUAACUUCGGAAAGGCAGUGGAAACUGAACAGCUAGAGUAUGGUAGGGGCAGAGGGAAUUCCUGGUGUAGCGGUGAAAUGCGUAGAGAUCAGGAAGAACAUCGGUGGCGAAGGCGCUCUGCUGGACCAUAACUGACGCUGAGAGACGAAAGCUAGGGGAGCAAAUAGG
rnacentral:rRNA from 1 species